UACGUAGGGGGCAAGCGUUGUCCGGAUUGACUGGGCGUAAAGGGCGCGUAGGCGGUUCGUACAGUCAGACGUGAAAUUCCUGGGCUCAACCUGGGGGCUGCGUUUGAUACGUGCGGACUUGAGUGCGGAAGAGGGUCGUGGAAUUCCCAGUGUAGAGGUGAAAUUCGUAGAUAUUGGGAAGAACACCGGUGGCGAAGGCGGCGACCUGGUCCGAUACUGACGCUGAGGCGCGAAAGCGUGGGGAGCAAACAGG
rnacentral:rRNA from 1 species